rnacentral:rRNA from 1 species
UACGGAGGAUGCAAGCGUUAUCCGGAAUGAUUGGGCGUAAAGCGUCCGCAGGUGGCAAUGUAAGUCUGCUGUCAAAGCGUCGGGCUCAACCAGAUAAAGGCAGUGGAAACUACAUAGCUAGAGUACGGUCGGGGUAGAAGGAAUUCCUGGUGUAGCGGUGAAAUGCGUAGAGAUCAGGAAGAACACCGGUGGCGAAAGCGUUCUGCUAGACCUGUACUGACACUGAGGGACGAAAGCUAGGGGAGCGAAUGGG